UGCGUAGGCGGCGUCAUAAGUCAGGGGUGAAAGCCCACAGCUCAACUGUGGAAUUGUCUUUGAUACUGUGGUGCUUGAAUCAGGUUGAGGUAGGCGGAAUGUGGCAUGUAGCGGUGAAAUGCUUAGAUGUGCCAUAGAACACCGAUUGCGAAGGCAGCUUACUGGACCUGCAUUGACGCUGAGGCACGAAAGCGUGGGGAGCGAACAGGAUUAGAUACCCUGGUAGUCC
rnacentral:rRNA from 1 species